rnacentral:rRNA from 1 species
UGGGGAAUAUUGGACAAUGGGCGAAAGCCUGAUCCAGCCAUGCCGCGUGUGUGAAGAAGGUCUUCGGAUUGUAAAGCACUUUAAGUUGGGAGGAAGGGCAGUAAGUUAAUACCUUGCUGGUUUGACGUUACCAACAGAAUAAGCACCGGCUAACUUCGUGCCAGCAGCCGCGGUAAUACGAAGGGUGCAAGCGUUAAUCGGAAUUACUGGGCGUAAAGCGCGCGUAGGUGGUUCAGCAAGUUGGAUGUGAAAUCCCCGGGCUCAACCUGGGAACUGCAUCCAAAACUACUGGGCUAGAGUACGGUAGAGGGUGGUAGAAUUUCCUGUGUAGCGGUGAAAUGCGUAGAUAUAUGAAGGAAUACCAGUGGCGAAGGCGACCACCUGGACUGAUACUGACACUGAGGUGCGAAAGCGUGGGGAGCAAACA